UAACAGGUGAAAGUCCUGUCCUAACAAUUAACCAGUUCGGUUAGGUAGCUAUGGCAUACGUAUGCGGAGUAAUCCAAAUGCGGAAGCAAUGCCGACUAACGUUAUCCCCAGUAGGCUGAUAUUCAUUGGUCUUAUCUCAGUCCGUGGGAGCGAGCAAACCUACAGUCCGUAACGAAA
rfam:Streptococcus agalactiae 2603V/R, complete genome.